GGAGGGGCAAGAGAAACAGAAAGAGAAGCAGCCCAGAUGAGAGAAAAGGUGCUUUAACUUUGAUUGCUGCAGAUUUUCUUGGCGUUUAAGUGCUGAUGAAGCAGGUAAGACUUGCCUUGCUUCCCCUUUACCUUCCACCAUGAUUGUAAGUUUCCUGAGGCUCUCCAACCCAUACGGAACAGUCAGUCAAAACUGAAGAUCAGCUUUUGAUCAUGAAGAGGAGAUUAGGUCACAGAUGUUCAAUAAGGAAAGACCAUGUGAAGACACAAGAAGAUGGUCAUCUGCAAGCCAAGAGAAAUGUCUCAAAAGGAACUGGCCCUGCUGACAUCUUGACCUUGAAUUUCCAGCCUCAGGUUCUUGGAUGCUUGAUGGAAUUAAGGAUUUGAGAACAUGAGAACAAACAGGAAUAUGCAGGAAAUCUUGAGGACACAGGAGAUGAAGUCAACCUGUGGCCAAGGGAGAGGGAGGGACAUGAGAAGCUUUGUGAAAGAUGUCAGCGCAAACCUCAGGCAAGUGCCACCCAACCUAGAGCUGUGGAUUGAAGUUUGGCGUUGGGGUGUCAGCCUGUGAUUUCCUGAUCUCCAACUCCACUCCUCUUAAGUCACCCAGCCUAAGGCACUGAACCUCAUCAUCAGAACCUCAGAGUCCAACAUCUUGACCAUAGCCUUGCAACCCCACUGUUAGGUGAGUUUCAAGUUCUCACUCCCCAUAAACUUCUUCAGACCACUGCUCCCUCGAAUGACUUUGUUUCCUCCCAGGUCAUCAGUUUCCUUAGUCAAUUUCCAAGUCCUAUCAGUUGUAGACACUACGAUUGGUCAUCCCAUCUGAGUGACUAUUUCACUUAAACUUGCCUUUCCUCCUCUGUUUGCAAUAACUCUCAUACAUAGCUCUAGCUUAACAUCCACGUUGCCUUCUCUAUUCUUACCUCCAGGACAGCAGAACACUAAACAUUAAGUUCUUCAAUGCUAAAAAACAUCCUGUAAUCACGAAAAUCAGCCCAGUACAAAUUCAUGCUCACUACACGUGGUUCUCAGCUGCUGUGGGGCCUCUCUCUUCCCUUCAGUAUCCACAGACUUGCAACGUUCUUCUCAGCCUUCCUUCGCACCACUAAAUUAUCUCAUUAAGUCAGGACCAUCUGGUGGGAACUCCUUUAACUUCCCAGGGCCCAGGAAAAAUAAACCAUAUUUACCCAUGCCUCCCUCUUUCUCCAUGUGCCUUUUCAAGAAGAGAGGCUCUUCUCCCAGUGUCUCUCUCCCUGAUUCCAUAUCACCCUCUCUUCUUUGGGAUACUUCUCCAAAGAGUGUGGUCUUUCAGGUAUCCUUACUGUCUUAUGACUGAGUCAUUCCACUUGGCUUAUGAACCUCUUUGUUGCUUAUUCCAGGCACUCUGAGUCUCCCCUGCAUUCAGUCUCCCUUCAGCAUACAACACUGUUCAUGAUGCUUUUUGUAAAGCCCUCUGCUUCCCCAUCCUCCUUAGAUCUUCUGCUACUACUCUGGCCAGUUUUUUCUCUGUCUGCUGCUUCUCCUUCCCUUGACCUAUUACUUCCUUCCUCCUCCUGAAGAAAUCUGAUCUGCAGCUCCUCUUCUGUUUUCAUCAGUGUGCUCACUCUUGAUGCUGCUGCUCCUGCAGCUACUGCCAAGUCUCACUUGAUAGACAGUACCCACUCCAUAUGGGGCAAGAAUAAAAAUCACCAAAAAUAGACAGUUAUAAACAAAUGUCCCUGCCCAUAAGAUUUAUGUAAUCGUACUUUAUCCAUGUGUUAUAUUGCUAAGGACAUGGUGACUGUGACAGAUGUAACAUAAUAGAUGCAAUUGACAUAUACAGUAUUUCUUAUAGCUAAACUACAGCUAAGUUAUUAUAUUUGAAAAAUAAUAUAUGAGACACAUCAAUAAUUGGUUUCAUUGUUAAAAAUAUACACACAAAGCAUCUUAAAAUAAUGUAACUAUAACAACCUGAUAACUAUAAUAAAUAUAAACAAAAAUUGUAAUAUAAGGUUGUGCUUAAUUUUUUUUUUUUUUUUUUUUUUUUUUUUUUUGAGACGGAGUCUCGCUCUGUCGCCCAGUUCCGGACUGCGGACUGCAGUGGCGCACUGCAAGCUCUCGGCUCACUGCAAGCUCUGCUUCCUGGGUUCACGCCAUUCUCCUGCCUCAGCCUCCCGAGUAGCUGGGACUACAGGCGCCUGCCACCGCGCCCGGCUAAUUUUUUGUAUUUUUUUUAGUAGAGACGGGGUUUCACCUUGUUAGCCAGGAUGGUCUCGAUCUCCUGACCUCGUGAUCCACCCGCCUUGGCCUCCCAAAGUGCUGGGAUUACAGGCGUGAGCCACCGCACCCAGCCGGUUGUGCUUAAUUUUUGAAAUUUAAAGGAUAUCUUAAGAUUUUAGUUAAAUAACAUCACAAAUAUAUGCAAGAUAAUUUCAAAUACUGCUCUCUUUUUCUUUUGAACGUGUUAUAACAAAAAACUAUACAAUAUUAUUUACUUGAGAAUAUAAAGGUUGCUUGCAAAUUAACUACUCAAUGAGACCUCAAGAAUACUUGAACAGGUAAUUUGUAGAAAAAGAAAUAAGGCUAGCCAUGAAUAUAAAAAGAUUUUCUAUCACAGAGAAAAUGGAGAAUGUGCCAACUUAAAACUAUGAGAUUGUUUGUUAGUAUGUUAGUGUGGGAGCAUGCUUUAGCAGCACUGGGCAAAGCAGCAUAUAUGGUGUGGUGAUGCACCAAAUAAAUCUGGCCCUGCUGAUUCUUUUAAAAAUAUAUUUUCUAAGAAAAAUAUAAAUAAUAUGUACAAAAAUGCUUAUAGCAAAGAUGCUUACCACAGCAUUAUUUUAAAUAAUGCUUUAAUUAUUUAUAAAAUUUAAAAACUACCAAAUAUUCCUUUGACCUUAGAACUUCAUCAAAAUCUAGUAUGUUCUCAAUACACCAUUUUUACUAAUGAAUUAGUUAUUGCAUGUAAAGCACCUGCCUAGCAUAGACAAUGAAAUGUAGCAUAUAUAAUAAUAGUCAUCAUAAUACUUAAAGUAAAACCAUAGUCAAUAUUUUUUCUUAUAAAUUUAGUGUACUUCACGCAAGUGUUCGAAAAAAGAAUGAGUACGUUUAUAAAGGAGACUUGUAUACUAUCAAAACUAUUUAAUGUUGUUGGAUAUUUUUCUCAAUCAAAAUUAUAACUGCAGCCACUCAUAAUAUUACACACAUAUAAUGCUUUCAUCUUCUCUUUUAUUGGCUAUC
rnacentral:lncRNA from 1 species